UACGGAGGGUGCAAGCGUUAAUCGGAAUUACUGGGCGUAAAGCGUGCGCAGGCGGUUUUGUAAGUCUGUCGUGAAAGCCCCGGGCUCAACCUGGGAAUUGCGAUGGAGACUGCAAGGCUUGAAUCUGGCAGAGGGGGGUAGAAUUCCACGUGUAGCAGUGAAAUGCGUAGAGAUGUGGAGGAAUACCGAUGGCGAAGGCAGCCCCCUGGGAUGAUACUGACGCUCAUGCACGAAAGCGUGGGGAGCAAACAGG
rnacentral:rRNA from 1 species